rnacentral:rRNA from 1 species
UUGCUGGUGUUUUAUUAAGAUGUGCCCCACCUGAUCCCUUUCCGAACUCAGAAGUGAAAGCGUCUUAAUCCGAUGAUACUCGGACCCAAUCCGGUCCCGGGAAAGUAGGAUACGCCAGCAU